GGAAAAGUGAGAAAGGGAGGGGAGGAGGGAACUCCAGUGGAAAACCUCCUCAUUAGGGAAACAUCUAGCACCAUAGAAAUUAGAACACCUGCUUCAUUCACUUAACACCCUUCCUGGGCGCCACACGUUGAAAUAUCCUUUCUUCUGAUUUUAAAAGUUAUAACAAAGUAGGUUGCAUACUGGGCCCUCCAGCAAAAUUUCAGAAAGCUGUCCGUUGGCCCACGGGAAUUGCGUGGCAUAUGGCCUCCUCCAGGGCGCUGGUAAGAGUGUUGUAGGUCGGAGCCUUGGGGGUGGCUCUGAACUUUCUACAGAGGCUUCAGUGUAGUACUCUGGAGUGAUUGUUGAAGAAGGACAAACCCACUGGGGCCUUUCGUACAGUAAGGCUUACCUGUCCCUGAGCCAACCUCCUAUCCAGUGAGCAUCUGUGGUUUGAAGUCAGUCUGAGAGGACACAGAGUUAGCUUACCAUCUAUUUCUUUUAGAGGGACAUGAGUUUUACACAAGAGAGUCCCUGGAUAUGUCAAAGACAGAAGAUUAGUACAAUGCGUCAUUGCUGAGAGGGUCACUCAUCAGUAGUGCCGCACUUCGGCUGCACACCCCAGCAGCUAAAAGAAAGCCAAUUACCCCCAGGAGCCCACCUGCUAUAGAGCUGCUGGGUGUGAAGAAUGCACCUACCAGUUGCCAGAACUGGAUUGCAAAUAUCCUGGCGCUAGAGAUCUCUUGGAUCACUCCAUAACUUCCUUCAAGUCGUUAAUGUUGAACAAUGCGUGUUAUCUCAGGGCUCCAGCAGGAGCACACUCUCUCUCUCUCUCUCACACACACACACACACACAUUUUGAUUUCUAGCCCAGUCUCAGCUCUCCAGCCACUCUUGCUGAGGACUAACCUUGAUAAAAUGGCCUUUUAAAUUUUUUUAUUGUAGAAGACAAAUUUUCUGUCUACUGUAUAGAAAUAGACAAAAGGCUACUUUUGAAGAAUGAUGAAUGUCACCAUGAUCAUUUCCCAAAGGUAUAUUGAUAUAUUUUUCAAAACCCAAAUAGGGAUCUAUGGCCUGUGGAGUGGAAUUUGCUGCAGUUUUGGCUUCCAGGACCUUCUGGGCACUUUAGACCAAGGUUGGGGAAUUUCCCACCUUAGAAGUCCCAACUACCCAAGGUAGAAGCCAGGAAACUCCCUUGGGCCUGCCUUCCUACCAUUCUCACAGGAUGCUGGCAUCUGAUCAGUGGAGCUGACAAGAGACACACCCACGUGGGAUUCUAAUUUGGGAGUGAGGGACACAGGUGCACAGGGAGAGGGUGUGGCAGACUGAGGCUCUUGGAUUGGAGGGCAGUGGGGAGGGAGAUGCAGGACAGUGGGUUUUUCUGGAACAAUCCUGUAGUCUUGGGCAUGUGUUCCUGGCAGGGCAGCCCCUAAAUUCAACUCUCUGGGCCUAAAGUGGUCCUGCCUGCAUUUGGGUGGGCCUUCCAGCCAAUGGCUUAGUUCACAGUCGUUCCAUCACAUUUGGGGAAAACAGUUCCUUUAAUUGGUGGAGUUUUUUUUCAUUCACUUGUCCAUGUGUAAAGAUUUCUGCAUACAAUACCCAACAUUUAAUCAAGAAACACUAAUAUAACACCCAGCAUAUUCAUGUAAUAGAAUUCUAUACAGCAGUGAAAAGGGAAAAACCUACUGUUAUACAUAACAACACGGACAACUUUCACAAACACAAAUUUCAACAAAAGCAGCCAGACACCAAAUCUACAUACUGUGAGUCCAUUUACAGAAGGUUGGACAACAGGCACCACCAAACUGUGGUGUUAUUCAUAGGCUAUUGAUGAACUCUGGAGAGACACAAGCCUGGCUUCCAGGAUGCUGACGGUGUGCUGCUUCUGGAUCCGGGUGGCGGAUGCACUGGCGUGUUACUUGGUAAAAACUCUUACGCUAAUGGUUUGUGCACUUUCUGUAUUUUACACUUCAAUAAAGUUUUUUCCCUUGAUUUAUGUCAUUUUUUUUUGUUCCAUAUCUCUUUUCAAUAUUCAAUCUGGCAUGCUGCUAAUACCAUUUUACAAAACUUUUUAUUAUGUAUUGCUAGUCCUCAAGAGUUAGUUUUUAAGUUUGAAGAAAAAAUAUCAAUACACAGGGGAAUUCUAAACAUGAGCUAUACCUAUGGCUUGCAUUU
ensembl:lncRNA